GCUGUCACCAAGGGUCUCCCGUGGGCACCUGGCUCUCGAGCAGCGUUCUUGGGGAUCAUCUGCCGGCUCACUCUCCGCGACCAGCGUCACUCGCAGAAAAAAACAAACAGGACAGACAGAUGGCCAUCGCCUGGCUCCCCGUGCGCAGGUGGGACACGGGACGGUGGAGGGGCUCCAUGCACACGGGAGGGACGAGCGGGGGGGCCUCCGGCCCGAGAGCCAGGCGAGGGCAGAAGUGCGGCUCUCGGGGUUCCCACCGGACACAGCAGGAGCCGUGGGGGCACGGCGGCAGGAUGAGGGGCACGGCUUCCCGGCUCGAGGUGGGCAAGGCCCGCGCACACACACGUCAUCCUGGGGGCCGUCCCGGGCGGGCCCGCCGAGGACUGUGGGACUGGGUGGGGGCGCACUGGGGAGAAAGGUUCUAGAGGCGGUCAUCUUCAGGGGACGGUGAGGACGUCCUCGUUCCAGCAUCACUAGGUGACGGCACCGAGCAGCUGGGCCUCCACUGUCACCGGGGACACUGCAGGCGAGGCCGCGGCCAGGAGGCUGCUCUCGGCCGAGAAGAAGGCGCCCUCCAGGCCGGCCUCACUGGAUCCCAAUGGCCUGCAGCACCCUCCGCUCGCUGUCGCUGAGGUGGCCCGAGAACACGGCGUAGCAGGGCUGCUGCGCGAACUGGCAGAGGAAGUCCGUGAGGAACACACAGUGGCGCUGACACUCUGGAGGUGUUCCCCUCCCCGGGAGCCUGCCACGGCCUCCGCUCCAGGGCAAGAGCGGUGGGAAGAUGUGGUCCUCAGCUGCAGCCGCCUGACCCGGAGACAAGUGUCCCCGCCCCACGAGAGACGCACGCAGCGCACGGAGGUCCUUAGAGGCCCUGACACACUGCUGUCCGUGGACAGCAAGGACUUGGAAGUAUAUUCUACGCACCUUGGACAACUGUCUACAUUCUUUCAUUGCUGUAAGUAUCCUCCUCUGAGGCCCUGGCCGGUUAGUGUUGGCCCUUAGACCAAGGGUCGUGGGUUUGAUUCCUG